AGCUGAUGCAGUCAGUCAGGGAAAUUAUUAUUUUAUUAAGGGUGGCCGAGUCUGUGAAACUGAAAACCUUUACUAGCCAUUUUGAGGGGAAGAACUGACACCCACUCAGCACUAAACGUGGAAAGAGGGCUCUCUUUUGAACAUGAAUUGGAUCGCAGGGUUGUUGUAUGUUUUCCGGGCUGUAUGGCCAUGUUCCAGAAGUAUUUUCUCCUAACGUUUCGCCCACAUCUAUGGCAGGCAUCCUCAGAGGUUGUGACCUCACAAACCUGGCAUCCGAUCCUGGGAUAUAGGACCUGUCUCUGGCUACUCCAGAAGCUGUACAGAUUGCCUUCCUCUUAUUGUAAAUGACCACUAGUUUGGGGAAAAUGCAUAUUUUUAAAGAUAGAUAAUGCAGAGCAGGCUUCACCCUAUUGAAAAGAUGAACUGCCAACCUCUGGAGACUUUGAGGUGAGAAAAUCCCACUUUUUUGCCUAAGAACGAAAAACUAGGGAGUUUGGAAUGGUUGAGGUCCCAAAAAAGGGUUUUGGGGGAGUGUGCAGCUUCACAAUCACUUUGUCCAUUGCUGCUUUUGAGAGAACAAAAAAAUUGUGGCAUUAAUAUCUUAAUACAUGCAAGAAGGGAGCCAAGAUUCUAUGGAUGAGAAGACAACACACCUAACUCUAAAAGUAUAGCAAUAGCCCCUUAAUGUGUAACAUUAGAAAAUGUCGACCAUUUCCGCUACCUUGGCAGCCCCAUCUCCACAAAAGUCAACAUUGACACUGAAAUACAACACUGCCUGAGCUCUGCGAGUGCAGCAUUUCUCCAAAUGAAGCAGAGAGUGUUAAGGAUUGGGACAUCCGUAGAGAUACCAUGUGCUUGUUUAUAAAGCCAUUGUCCUCCCAACCCUAAAUGCCUGCGAAACGUGGAAUGUCUACAGACGUCACUGAACUCCUGGAGCUAUUCUACCAACAUUGCCUCUGAAAAAUCCUGCAGAUCUCUUGGGAAAAUAGGCAGACAAUUGUCAGCUGCUGGAAGAAGCAAAGACAACCAGCAUUAAAGCAAUGCUCCUACGCCAUCAACUCUGCUGGACUGGCCACGUUGUCCGAAUGCCCGAUCACCAUCUCCCAAAGCAGUUACUCUACUCCCAACUCAAGAAUGGGAAACGGAAUGUUGGUGGACAGGAAAAGAGAUUUAAAGAUGGCUCAAAGCUAACCUUAAAAACUGUGGCAUAGACACUGAGAACUGGGAAGCCCUGGCCCUUGAGCGCUCUAGCUGGAGGUCAGCUGUGACCAGCAGUGCUGCGGAGUUCGAAGAGGCACGAAUAGAGGGCUUAAGGGAGAAAUGUGCCAAGAGGAAAGCACAUCAAACCAACCCUGACUGGGACCGUCUUCUACCUGGAAACCGAUGUCUCCACUGUGGGAGAAUAUGCGGAUCAAGAAUAGGUCUCUUCAGCCAUCUAUGGACCCACCCCCAAGACCCCACAACUGGAGGACCAUCAUUCUCGAUCUACAAGGGAUCACCUAAGUAAUGAUGGGGCCGUUCAGAAGACUUUCAUUUGCCACAGAACCCUAACUCUAUCCCUGAUUUGUUUAACCAAAAAUAUAUUCUGGAUCAUUUUAUUCUAUUUCAAGUAUGUCUCUGAAUUUCCCUAUGUAACAUCUAGUUUUUGAGUUAAUUUUAUUCUGAUAUAUUAUGAACAACAGCCCAGUAUCCCAACAUCCAAAAUGUAUUUUAUCUCAAAAAUUGUUCAAGAAAAAAGAACAAAAAGAAAUGUGAAAUCAACAUGAAAAAUUGACCAUGUAUGAAUAACUCAGGUUGCAAAAUGUUGAAAUGUGUAGCCAGAAACUAUGUAAUGGAUAGCAAUAGUUAUAGGACAAAAUAGAUUUUACGGUGCUGCAAAUCAAA